CAGAGUGGGAAGUACAGUGCAAAAUGGAAGGAUGCACACAAGCUUUCACAUGCUUUAAUUAGUGAAGAUUCAGCAUUCAGGAAAAGGGCAUCUGAAAGACGUUCGGAGGCGAUUGCAACAUGAGCCUGGUAUUUAAACUAGGAAGGUCUUUCAGAGACGCUGAGGACUAUAAAAAGGUGAAAGGGAAGCGAGAAGGCCAAGGAAGAGAGCAAACCAUACCCAGAUUCUGGAGAAAGAUAACCUGCAACCAUUUCCUCCAUGCUUGAUGUCCUCUGGCCCUGAUCCUUUCUAGAAAAGGAAUAACCGUGAACUCUGCCACUGAUACCAAGGACUGGGCACUGAAAAGUCUCACAUCAUUAGUUUUAUCUGUGCAUGCACAUCCUGACUUCACCUGCUUUUGCCAGAAGGUUGUGGUAGAUAUCUAAAACUGAAAGGAAGUCGAAAGGCAUUUUGUUUGUUUAAAAAAGAAAAAAAAUACCUUACCACCGAUCAUUUUCGUAACUAAAAAUUGAAUGACUGAAUGGUCUGAAUAUGUGACCCAGGGACAGCAUGAAAACUCUUUUUAACAGAUGCCACAAUCUCUCUGGGUACUUGAUAUCCUUCCUGUGGCAGGCUACACUAGUUUUUAUUAUGCCUCCUUUGUAGCCCCAUAUAUAAGGCAACCAGGCUCAGCUAACCUCAGAUCUCACACUGUUAUGUGUAGAAGAAAAGCAUUGAAAUACGAUCUGCCAAAAAAGCCCCACACCCUCGCUCUGGAAAUUCAUUUCAGAAUAUGGGCUGUGAGACCUGCCAGGGAAAGAAUAACAGAAGCAGAAGGGAAAACGCAUGUUUUAAACUGACAGCUUGUAUGUUUUAUUCUUGAUGCAAAAAGACAAAUUACUACGCGAGUGAGUAUGUAGUGGAAUGUGAUUAAUUCUAAAUCCAGUGUACUCACCUUCUCCACAGCAAGCGCUUGUGCAGAACUAUUCUCUGUGCGUAUCUGCCUUUUCCUGGAAAAAUAGCUGUUGCCCUGUCAGAAAGCCAGUAUAGGCGAUACAGGCACAGGUUUUUUUUACCUAUUUACCUACUUGUUUAGAAUCUCUGAGAUAUAAAAUUUGAAUUUGUAAUGAGACAGCCACAAAAGCACCUAGAAAGCAUUUGGGACCACAUGCAGCAAAACCCUCUCUUUUUUUACACAGCUUCAGAAAUGACAAGCCUAGCUCUACUGUGCAGUUUAAUUAGCUUAUAAAUGAGUCCAGUGGCUCUGACACUUUGUCCUCCUAAGGAAAGAUUCUUUCAAGUUGAUCUAAAUGAAAUGUGUUUUAGCAUGCAAAGGAAAAUAACAUUUUGGGACCAGCUAAGGAAAAUCGUGAUAGACAAUGCUUCCUCCACUAAUGUAAUGGAUUUCAGUGAAUGCGCAUUUUAGAUGCAUAGUCAUGUAACAAAGUAUAGUUUAGCUCACCAGCUAUCAGAAAAUAAUAGGAAAAUAAUAUAAAUAAUAAUAAAUAAUAAUAAUAGGAAAAUAAUAGGAAAGAGGCUAAGGCAGGCUUUGUAAAGAGUAUUUUCAGAUGCUGGUGGGUGCUGUUAUUUACAGCUAUUGCAUUUUCCUUUGUUCUGGUGUUUUCACAAAGGUUCCAUUUGUGGGAACAGCCAUUAGCAGAAUGAUUCCUUAAACACACAACUAAUAUUAUUUUACCGGAAAAUCAGUUUGUUUUGCACGAUAUUGCAGAACAAUGCCAUACAAGUUCUUCUCUGGAAAAAUUUUCUCUGACAUCCACGGGUUGCUUAGAUGAGUGAAAACUGAAACCUAAACUGCAUAAAGCAAGAGAGAACGUCCAGAAAGAAGCCCAGUUUUCUCCUUCAGCAUGAUGACUUUGGUGUUGCUUAACCCUUUACCAGUAAACCAAUAGCGCUGUUUUUGAACAGGAGUUUGCAGGGAAAACCCCGGGUGCUGCAAGAAGUUACACGAGUCAGUAGGUGGCAUAUUUUCCUCUGAGUCAGUCCUAAAUCACACCUACGCAGUUUUGCGGGAGUGCUGGGAGCACUGCCUUUCGACCAAGGCUUACACAAGGUCUGACUGCUUCUGAUGGUUCGGGUCCGGAGCCUGACUCACCGCUAGUGCUCAGGGACACUUUUGCCACCACGGCUGGGUCCACCCACCUCACCGUGCAGCGCGCGUGGUCGCGGGCAGCGGGGCUGGGAGGCACUAACCUACUGCCCUAGCGAGACAUUUCCCUGGUGCUAAUUCUGACACCCUGGCAAGAGGUCUGAUUCACCCGUUGUGGCUUUGCCUGUAAAAAGAUUUGGAUGGAGCUGUAAAUUACAGUUCUGUGAUCACCUUAUUUGCCUAUAGUGCCUUCCAACUUCCCUUUCAAUAGCAUAGGACUAUGCCUUUCUCGCCCACUCUAGAUUAUUAUUAUGCAGUGCUGAACUGGCUUUUAAACAAACAAUUGCCAGGCAAGAACUUCCCUCUGUUAUUUUGCUGAAUCCUUGCCGUUUCCUUGCGUAUUAGCAGAGGCAAAGACGUUUCAGCCACAGCUGAAAGAAACCUUCUAAGAUUCACGGUUGCCACUGAGCUUUUGACAUUAUCUUGAAAUAAUUCCCCUGUUUUUGAAUCUGUGGCUGCAUAUGUUUCAGAACGAGAAUUUGAUAAAACUUCUAGAUUUCUAGAUUGACCCCAACCAAGAAUCUAAAUAUUUAGGAUUUGUGAUUACAGUUUUGAUUUUCUCUAGUCAUAAUGCUCCAGAGAAUAGAUCUUUAUCGUGAUUUAAACAAUAAUAUGAUAUGUGCUUGGAAACAGAAUAGUAUAGGCAAAAAAAAGUCUGCUUUCUGCAUGUGCCACACAAAUAAACAGGUUGGCCAGGAGCUAUAGUCUAAUUCAUGGUAAUAAAAAUGAAAGUUAUGAAUUAGAAAUAUGGACUGGGCCAUGUUUCAGAUGGUAAGACUUCAAGAGGAGCAAACUGACUAUGCUUGAAUUCAGGGUUUUACUCAACAUUUUAACAUUUCAAAAAUGGAGUAUAUUAUUUUUGAAUUCUGAUGGAACCAACUUUUCCUUCUUGUUUGUUGCUAUUAAAUAAGGUAAAUUUAAAUUUAAUUAAUUUUUAUCAGGCUGACUAGCAUCUAGACUAGCAACAACCUUCUUCAAAAUAAUUAUUGCAAGAAACAACCUUCUUCAAAAUAAUUAUUGAAAAGUGCAUACCUUUGAAUGUUUUCAUGGUACAGGCCAUAUCAGAGGCCUAAAAUGCAGAAUUGAUGCUAUUUUUAUAAAUAAAAAGGAAUAUUAUUG